GACGAACGCUGGCGGCGUGCUUAACAAAUGCAAGUCGAGCGGAGCGGCGAACGGGUGAGGAACGCGUGAGUAAGUGACCCCCUCUCUGGGAUAACAGUUGGAAACGGCUGCGAAUACCGGAAAGUGGGGGAUGACUCGCGUCCAAUCGGUCUCUUGGUGGGGUAGUGGCCGACCAAGGCGACGACGGGUAGCCGGCCUGGGAGGGGGGCCGGCCACAAUGGUCUGAGUGACGGCCCAGUCUCCAACGGGGGGCAGCAGUGGGGAAUAUGGCACAACGGGGGAAACCCUGAUGCGUCGACGCCGCGUUUGUGAUGUCUGCUUUCGGGUUGUGAACCGCUUUCGGCCAUGACGCGGUAGUUGCAGAAGAAGCACCGGCUAACUACGUGCCAGCAGCCGCGGUAAUAC
rnacentral:rRNA from 1 species